rnacentral:lncRNA from 1 species
GUCAUGUGUCUUGAGCAGCCACUAUCCAAGUACCAACAAUUUUUGUUGUCCUUGGCUGCAAGACACUCCUACACAAGCAAAUCAUACAGUUUUAGGUACCCAAGUUUUCUUGGGUCCUUCAUGGUUAGUAAUAUUGGUUCCUUUUGGAACCCAAACCCUUUUAAUUUUUCUUUUGAUUUUUCCUUUUCUAAAAUCACAUACAUUUGCUUUGUGUCCUAAUGUUCCACAGCAAAAACAUGUUAUUUUCUUAGUUUUGUUUUCUCCUGCUUUAACAAAGAAAUUACUAAGGAGUUUUUGCCUAUUGUUAGGUUUAUACCCUAAACCAGCUCUAUUGAAUACAGCUCGUUGACUACUAAGUAUCAUCUCUAAUUUUUCUGAGCUAUAUGUAAAUCGUUCUACAAAAGGCUUGUAUUUUUCAAGAUCUAGUGUCAAUUUUUGUUUUUCUGUUUUUAGAUCAUUUAGUUCUUUUGUGAGACUCUCA